CUAGGCUGUGCUGACACACUGCUGGUCCUGGAGAGCAGGGUCAGCCCUCCCAUCUCUCUACCUCUGCCCUGGCUCUACACCUGGACAGCCAGGAUGCUGAGACCUGGAGAACCAUGUGGGUCCUUUGAUGAGGAUCUCUCCUACAGCCCCUUGCCAGACAAAGAACCAAAGGAAGCGUCUUUAAUUGGCAGGCCUUUAAAAAGAGCUUUUAGUGAAGAAGUUCAGGGAGAGGAUGGCUCAAGAAGGCUCCAGAAGGGAUGACUGGGGAAAAACCACCUGUCCUGUCCAGGCUUUGUCACCUACCGUUUGUUUGUUUGUUUGUUUGUUUCUUAGUAGGCAUAGGCACCUCAUUCUGCCUAGGAUGGCAUGGGCCUCGGCCAUGAAAACUGUGUGCUGCCUUCCUAGGCCAACUGAGAGGACAAUGGCUACUGCUGGUGGCUUCCCUUCGCAGUCAGAGGCUGGCACGUGGGACCGUGUUUAGCAGGGCCGCUAACCGAGUCUGUUGCUAUAGGACAUGGAGGUGAAGGUAGUUGGCCAGUUUUGCUCAAACUCGACCAUCAGUCUGUGGGCCAAGAGAGCUGCUGCCAAAGACCCUGAUUAGCACAGCCCACCAGCAAAAGAAGGAAAAUUAGGAUGCCAUGCGUCUAAGCCACUGUUCUUGUGAGGCUACGGCCAUGGAGAAAACCCUUAGGAAGCACCCAGAGAAUGUCAUCACCCUUCCUCCCAGCAGCCACCUGGGCGCUGAGCUCUAUGACACUGACAGACUUCUGAGAUCACUCCCAACCUUCUGCCUAACGAGGAGAGUACCCCUGCCAGGGACUGUAUGGGGAAACUGAGGCAGCGUGUAACUGACCUGAGCCCGCCCCACCAUCACCCUAAGAAAAAUGAGAGCGGUUCACUGUUAGCCAAGCAAGUUCAUCUUCGAAAAAGAGUCUGAAUGAGAAACUGGGGACUGGACUUCAGAAGUUGAUGGAACUGUUUAGGGAAGAUUAGGAGGUGCGGCCUUUGCUGGAGGAGGUUUCCAAAGCCCUCACCAGACCCAGCGACAACUCUCUGUCUCCUGCCCAAGGACCACAGUGUCAGCUUUCAGAGACUGCUCCAGCACCGUACCUGUAUGCCUGCUGCCAUGCUCCCUGCCACAAUGGCCAUGGACUCACCCUCUGAAACUAUAA